AUGGAUCUUGCCAUAUCAGCUAUCACAGGGGAUCUGGCUAAUCGAAUCAUCUCUUUUCUGAUGAGCGAAUACAUGGAUCACGUAUGCUCGGAGGAGAAGGUGGAGAGGCUACAACAACUCUUGCUGAGAAUUGGCAUGGUCGUCGAGGAGGCGGACUCACGAUACAUCACCAUGCUCAUACAGCUGAAGACGCUGGUGGCAGCCAUGUACCAAGGCCACCAUGUGCUUGAUACCAUCAAGUACAGGAAACAUAAGGAAUUGAUAUGUGACUCAUCGGCACUAUCUAUUCCCACUCCUAACAAACGUACACGCACACUCGUUAGUAGUGCAUCACACAAGGUUUUCAACUCAGGGCUAAUAAGAACUCUGCAAAACCUAGAGGCCGGUGUUGCUAACAUGGCGGAGUUUGUCAUCCUUUUGGGCGGAUGCGAGCGCAUCUCCCGUAGACCCUAUGAUGCAUAUCUUUACAUCGACAACUUCAUAUUUGGCCGCCAUGUCGAGAAGCAGCAGAUCAUCAGGUUCUUGCUGCACCACAACACCCCAGGUUCUCUGGCCGUGCUUCCAAUCAUUGGUGAUGCUGGAGUUGGGAACAAAACUCUUGUCACCCAUGUAUGCGAUGUUGAGAGAGUGCGUUCUCACUUUUCUAUGAUUUUGCACCUGAAUGGAGAUGAUCUUUUCAGAAUUACAGACCAUGAAAGACUAUCAGGGAGGAUAUUAGUAGUUGUUGAGUUUGCUUCAGAUGUAGAUGAAGAUGACUGGACAACGUUCUAUCAUUUUGUUACGAAUAUGGAGAGGAAGUAA
rnacentral:rRNA from 1 species